ACGGAGAGUUUGAUCCUGGCUCAGGAUGAACGCUAGCGGCAGGCCUAACACAUGCAAGUCGAACGGUAACAGGAAUUAGCUUGCUAAUUUGCUGACGAGUGGCGCACGGGUGCGUAACGCGUAUGCAACUUACCCCAUACUGAGGGAUAGCCCAUGGAAACGUGGAUUAAUACCUCAUAGUACUAUUGAAUCGCAUGGUUUAAUAUUUAAAGGUUACGGUAUGGGAUGGGCAUGCGUCUUAUUAGCUAGAUGGUGAGGUAACGGCUCACCAUGGCGACGAUAAGUAGGGGGUCUGAGAGGAUUAUCCCCCACACUGGUACUGAGACACGGACCAGACUCCUACGGGAGGCAGCAGUGAGGAAUAUUGGUCAAUGGAGGCAACUCUGAACCAGCCAUGCCGCGUGCAGGAAGACGGUCCUAUGGAUUGUAAACUGCUUUUAUUUGGGAAUAAACCUGGGUACGUGUACCCAGCUGAAUGUACCAAACGAAUAAGCACCGGCUAACUCCGUGCCAGCAGCCGCGGUAAUACGGAGGGUGCAAGCGUUAUCCGGAAUCAUUGGGUUUAAAGGGUCC
rnacentral:rRNA from 1 species